rnacentral:rRNA from 1 species
AUUGAACGCUGGCGGCAUGCCUUACACAUGCAAGUCGAACGGCAGCACGGACUUCGGUCUGGUGGCGAGUGGCGAACGGGUGAGUAAUAUAUCGGAACAUACCCAGUAGUGGGGGAUAACUAUCCGAAAGGAUAGCUAAUACCGCAUACGAUCUGUGGAUGAAAGCAGGGGAUCUUCGGACCUUGUGCUAUUGGAAUGGCCGAUAUCUGAUUAGCUAGUUGGUAGGGUAAAAGCCUACCAAGGCGACGAUCAGUAGCUGGUCUGAGAGGACGACCAGCCACACUGGAACUGAGACACGGUCCAGACUCCUACGGGUGGCUG